GAUGAACGCUGGCGGCGCGCCUAACACAUGCAAGUCGAACGGAGUGGCGAACGGCUGAGUAACACGGGGGCAAACUGCCCUCCUCUUGGGGAUAGCCUCGGGAAAACGGGAUAAUACCCGAUAGAGAAUGAUGGCCCGCGGCCUGUUAGCUUGUGGGUGGGGUAGAGGCCUACCAAGGCAAUGAUGGGUAGCUGGGUUGAGAGACCGACCAGCCAGAUUGCGACUGCGACACGGACCAGACUCCUACGGGAGGCAGCAGUGGGGAAUCUUGCACAAUGGGCGAAAGCCUGAUGCAGCGACGCCGCGUGCGGGACGAAGGCCUUCGGGUUGUAAACCGCUUUCAUCAGGUACGCGGUACCUGCAGAAGAAGUCCCGGCUAACUACGUGCCAGCAGCCGCGGUAAUUC
rnacentral:rRNA from 1 species